rnacentral:rRNA from 1 species
UCCUACGGGUGGCAGCAGUUUCGAAUCAUUCACAAUGGGCGAAAGCCUGAUGGUGCGACGCCGCGUGAGGGAUGAAGGUCUUCGGAUUGUAAACCUCUGUCACCGGGGAAGAAACGCUUCAAGUAAACAGCUUGAAGCCUGACUUAACCCGGAGAGGAAGCAGUGGCUAACUCUGUGCCAGCAGCCGCGGUAAUACAGAGACUGCAAGCGUUAUUCGGAUUCACUGGGCGUAAAGGGUGCGCAGGCGGCCCUGUGUGUGAGGCGUGAAAGCCUGGAGCUUAACUCCAGAAUUGCACCUCAAACUACAAGGCUAGAGCAUUGGAGAGGGUAGCAGAAUUCAUGGUGUAGCAGUGAAAUGCGUAGAUAUCAUGAGGAAUACCAGAGGCGAAGGCGGCUACCUAGACAAUUGCUGACGCUCAGGCACGAAAGCGUGGGGAGCAAAAGGGAUUAGAUACCCCAGUAGUCUA